rnacentral:rRNA from 1 species
UACGGAGGAUGCGAGCGUUAUCCGGAUUUAUUGGGUUUAAAGGGUGCGUAGGCGGCUUUUUAAGUCAGCGGUGAAAUUUUGCAGCUUAACUGUAACAGUGCCGUUGAUACUGGGGAGCUAGGAUUUGGCUGCUGUGGGUGGAAUGUGUGGUGUAGCGGUGAAAUGCUUAGAGAUCACACAGAAUAUCGAUUGCGAAGGCAGCUCACAAAGCCAAGAUUGACGCUGAGGCACGAAAGUGUGGGGAGUCAAACAGGA